AAAUUGGUGGGCAAAUGAAAUUUGUAAAAGAAAUUCAAAGGUGAAUAUUCAUUUUUUCUGCAUUUUGAAGCAUUUUUUGCUUCCCGAUUACUUCCCUUGGGUUACUCUCUAGCGUCUGGAGGUACUAUAUGUAGACGUUGUAAUGGUAAAUAAAUGAUUUGGUGAGAAAAGUUAUCCAAGCAGGCGAAGAUUUGCAGUGUGGAAGAAGAAAAAGGACCAAGAUAUAAUAAAAAAUGAAGACAAAAGGUGGAUGAAACUUACUCAUGCUUACCUACAUACACACCAAUGACACCUGCAACAUGGAUACAAGACUGCAACUACACACAGCCAUCUCCUUGGACCCAACAGAUACCAGUGUCACAGUUUGAACAGCAGAUGCAAACACAACCAACUCCCGACAUUCACACUCAACAGAUGCUUACAAAACAGAUUUCUCUUAAUCCGCAACCAUCUCAAGACAUUGAAAUACAACAAAUGCCAACACACCAACCAAUGCGGCACCUCAAAUUUCCUUAGAACAAAUGCCAAUGGCACAAAUGAUGCCUUAACAAAUGCCACCACAGAACCCUGCAACUCCUUCCCAGCACACCACACCACAAAAGAUGCCAUCAACACACUUACAUGUAGUAAGCCCACCAAGGACACCAAGGAGGUCACCAAGGAAGCAUUUCUCAUCUACACCCGAGGAUUCUGAUGGACUUAUGACAAGGCUCCUUUCAAAACCAUCCUUUGUCAGUUAAGAGGGAAGCACUGAGGAAAGCAAAAACUGCAGCAAAGAAGGCUCACUCAUCAAAAAUGGCCUUCACCUUGACAGCAAAACUCCUUCCUGCAAUUCUAACAUGUGAGGAGUUGGCCCUUGGUAGAGGACAAGGGUUAAAGUCAAAAGAUGGAGAUAAAAGACCAACUCUUGAUUCCACAAAGAUGACUGCGUUGAAAGAAUAUGUAGCAGUCUGGUGUGAGAAGAAUCGUGGGAAAUAUGGAGAAAAAGAGAUAAAUGACGCUGUGACUGAGCAGGUUUCAUAUGCCCGAAAAAAAGGAAAGGAAAUAAAAAAUAAAAAAAAGUCAACAGCUGAGUGAAAGAAAAUUUAUGUUUAACUUUGUAAAUAUGAUGAUCACGAACUGGUUAUAUUUGAUUGUUGGACAUCACAAAAUUUAUUGCUAGGAUUUUAUGAAACCAAGAUUAAUGUACAAUAUAGUAAUUUGACAACUUGUAAAUUUAAAUUGUUUUUUUUAAUUACUGAUUUAACUUUAAAGACUUUAAUAUCUUAAUAAAAUGUAAUAGUUUAAUUGUUACAAUGAGUUUGUCUAUGACUUUAUUUUGGAAAAAUGUCCAUUAAAAUUGAAAGACAGAAUUAAUUGGCAUAAUCCGCUUAAUGUACGCCUAAGCAUUCCGCUUAAUGUACGCCUAAGCAGUAUGCUGUUUUCCGUCUAAAAUUUAGCAGGAUUUUUAGGCGGAAUCUUUAAGCGGAAUCUUUAGGCGGACUAAUUUGCAUAUUUCGCCUAAGUUUCCGCUUGAAUUCCGGCAGAACUCCAUCUAAAGUUCGCUUGUAUUUUGUCUAAGCUUACUCUUUAUGAGUAUUGCUGACUUCAGGCGGAAUACGCCUUAGUUGUCCGCCUGAAAUCCACCUUUUCUCCGCCUGGAAUAUUUCGUACGGGCUAUGCAGUAAGAGUGAUCUUACCUUAAAAGUCAGAUAGAAAGAUAGUUGUUCACCAUCUAUUGAACAAUUUGUAACAGAUUAAAAUAUUCUUAAUAGCAUUAUCUUAGAAUAAGAAUAAGUAAUUGAAUUAUUAAUAUUUGCAUUAAUUUUCCCAACUGUAGACAACCAUGGUUUCUGUUCAUGAAUUAGAAUAAUUCAUUGUCUCUAAGCAUUUUUUUCCUGUAGAAAUAAGGCAGGUACUUGAUAAAAAUGAACUAAUAGUCUCAAUAUGCAUACCUUUAUAUGGUAAUAAUGCAGAUCACGUCUUGUUAUUGUAAAGAGCUUCUUUAAAUUUAAUAUUAUAUGGUUUGCUAAUUAAGUUACAUUGUAAAAUACAUUGUAGUUGAUAAUUUUCAUAGAGAUUUUGAAAAAAAAAAUCACAAGCCAAGAACUCUUGACUUACGUAAAUGUAAUACUUUGUAGCAUUUUGUGCUUAUUAUGUACCAAGUAACUAUAUUGAAAUUGGCAUGGAAGGCCUCGUGUAAUUUAAAUCUAUAUCAGUCUAGAUUUUUAAAGUCUAAGUCUACAAUUUUAUUUCAUGAUGAAAUGGAAAUAUAAGGAAUCACUGUCUAGUUUUGAGAGUAUGCCAGGGACAUCAACAAUAGUGGGAAACAUGGGAUAAUUUUAGCAUAACGGGCAAAUUAUCCUAUGUUUCCCACUAUUAUUGAUGCCCUUGCAUACUCUCAAAACUAGAUAGUGAUUCCUUAAAAAACAUAUAAUUUAGAAAUUAUGAUGUAGCCGGUAAUAAACUGGUACAUCUAACUGCAGUAAGCAAUAAUAGAGGAUUGUUAUUUUUGUAUUCUGCAAGAAAGGGGGGGUCUAUAUCUUUGAUCAUAUUCUCACCUAUCAGUAUGAAUUAUUAUUCUUUUAUGGGUCAAAUGACAAUGUCUCAUUGAUUUUACAGAUUUUGAGCUUAAAUUUUUUGAUUUUUUAUUAUCAAAAGAAAAAAUAUAUCUUGUUAUAUGAAGUAUAAGUUAAAGCUGUUUUUUGGCAAAAUGCCAAUUUUAUGAUUUUUCAAUUUGUUAUAGUCAACAUUUGUUGUUAUUUGCCCAUGAAUGUUUUUGAAUAUUUUCAUUAUUUGUGACAAGUACCUUCAGAUGAAAUAAGUGAUACAUUGUGAAAGUUCUGCUAAUUUUUUAUUUUUCUUCUCAAAAUGUUUCAGUUUUUCAGUUUUGACUAAAUUUCGAAAAAUUGAUAUUUUGCCAUUGUUUGACUAAGUAUUACAAAAUAUUCAAAUAAAUCUUUAACACAAUAAAGAUAUA